rnacentral:misc_RNA from 1 species
GGAAAGCUCUAUAUUGAUUAGGGUGUGUGUAUAAGACUUUCAACAGUACCCUGAUGCAUAUAUACAAUUGGAUCUACAUGACAAAGAAAAAUGAAGGAUGCCGAUCAAUUACUCAAGAAAAUUACAAAGCAAUAUCUCAUUACAAAUGUAGACCGUAACACAACUUCUAUAACUGAUUGUGAAAAAGUGAGCCUUUGUGCUAUACAAAGUCAAAUCCUGAUUUUGGGAGCAUUGCAUUACAAUCUGG